rnacentral:rRNA from 1 species
ACUCCUACGGGAGGCAGCAACCGGGAAUAUUGCGCAAUGGGCGAAAGCCUGACGCAGCGACGCCGCGUGGGGGAUGACGGCCCUCGGGUUGUAAACUCCUUUUAUGAGGGAAUAAGUUCUGAAGGUACCUUAUGAAUAAGCACCUGCUAACUACGUGCCAGAAGCCUCGGUAAUACGUAGGGUGCAAGCGUUAUCCGGAUUUAUUGGGCGUAAAGGGUUUCGUAGGCGUCUCAGCGCAUCUUACCUUAAAGCCUGGGGCUUAACCCCAGAAAAGGGUAAGAGAUGGCUGAGAUAGAGUUAGGUCGGGGAUACUGGAAUUUGCGGUGGAGGGGUGAAAUCCGUUGAGAUCGCAAAGAACACCAAGGGCGAAGGCAGGUAUCUAGGCCUAUACUGACGCUCAUGUACGAAAGCUAGGGUAGCAAAAGGGAUUAGAGACCCCUGUAGUCCUAUGCUGUAAACGAUGUCUGCUAGCUGUCCCCGAAUUUUCGGGGGUGGCGCAAGCUAACGCGUUAAGCAGACCGCCUGGGAAGUACGGUCGCAAGACUGAAACUCAAAGGAAUUGACGGGGAGGCGCACAACCAGUGGAGCAUGUGGUUUAAUUCGAUACGAAGCGUAGAACCUUACCUGGGUUUGACAUGUUACUGCAAGCCCCGAGAAAUCGGGGAAGCCUUCGAGGGUGUAGCACAGCUGCUGCAUGGCUGUCGUCAGUUCGUGUCGUGAGAUGUCCACUUAAGUGUGGUAACGAACGCAACCCUUGUCCUAUGUUAUAGUUUCACAUAGGAGACUGCCUGAGUAUUACUUGGGAGGAAGGAGANGAUGACGUCAAGUCAGCACGGCGCUUAUAUCCAGGGCAACACACAUCCUACAAUGGAAAGUACAGANGGUUGCGAAGCGGUAACGCUAUAGCUAAUCCUAAAAAACUUUCCUCANUUCANAUUGAGGGCUGCAAUUCGCCCUCAUGAAGUC